UACGUAGGGUGCGAGCGUUAAUCGGAAUUACUGGGCGUAAAGCGUGCGCAGGCGGUUUUGUAAGCCAGGUGUGAAAUCCCCGGGCUCAACCUGGGAAUGGCAUUUGGGACUGCAAGGCUGGAGUGUGGCAGAGGAGACUGGAAUUCCUGGUGUAGCAGUGAAAUGCGUAGAUAUUGGGAGGAACACCGGUGGCGAAGGCGGCCCUCUGGACCGAAACUGACACUGAAGCGCGAAAGCUAGGGGAGCAAACGGG
rnacentral:rRNA from 1 species